rnacentral:tRNA from 1 species
GGAGAGGUCGCAUAGCCUGGUUUAGUGCGGCGGAUUGCUAAUCCGUUGAGGUGGGGUUUCCUGCCUCCGAGGGUUCAAAUCCCUCCCUCUCCGCCU